GGGCUCGCUGCGGCAGCACAUGAACUAAAACAGGAGCGAUACAGAGAGCAGCACGGCCCUGCGCAAGGAUGACACGCACAUCCAUGAAGCGUCACACGCACAU